rnacentral:rRNA from 1 species
CGAGGAUCUUCGGCAAUGGGCGCAAGCCUGACCGAGCGACGCCGCGUGUGCGAUGAGGGCCUUCGGGUUGUAAAGCACUGUCGAGGGGAAGAAAAGCCCGCAAGGGUUUGAUCGACCCCUGGAGGAAGCACGGGCUAAGUUCGUGCCAGCAGCCGCGGUAAGACGAACCGUGCUAACGUUGUUCGGAAUCACUGGGCUUAAAGGGCGCGUAGGCGGGCAUGCAAGUCAGGGGUGAAAGCCCACGGCUCAACCGUGGAAGUGCCUUUGAUACUGCGUGUCUUGAGCGAGGUAGGGGCGUGCGGAACUUCCGGUGGAGCGGUGAAAUGCGUAGAUAUCGGAAGGAACACCGGUGGCGAAAGCGGCGCGCUGGACCUCUUCUGACGCUGAGGCGCGAAAGCCAGGGGAGCAAA